AUUCAGCUAACGAGUUCCUAAUAGGACGAAACUCGCGUCCUAGAU
rfam:Schistosoma curassoni strain Dakar, Senegal genome assembly, scaffold: SCTD_scaffold0000522